rnacentral:tRNA from 3 species
GCCUCUGUGGUGGAAUUGGUAGACACGGUAGAUUCAAAAUCUGCUGUCCUUCGGACGUGCCAGUUCGAGUCUGGCCAGAGGUACCA